UACGUAGGGUGCAAGCGUUGUCCGGAAUUAUUGGGCGUAGAGAGCUCGUAGGCGGUUUGUUGCGUCGGCUGUGAAAUCCCGAGGCUCAACCUCGGGUCUGCAGUCGAUACGAGCAAACUAGAGUGUUGCAGGGGAGACUGGAAUUCCUGGUGUAGCGGUGAAAUGCGCAGAUAUCAGGAGGAACACCGGUGGCGAAGGCGGGUCUCUGGGCAACAACUGACGCUGAGGAGCGAAAGCGUGGGGAGCGAACAGG
rnacentral:rRNA from 1 species